GUGCUCACCUUUCUUUAUAGUCCAACUCUCACAUCCAUACAUGACUACCGGAAAAACCAUAGCCUUGACUAGAUGGACCUUUGUAGGCAAAGUAAUGUCUCUGCUUUUGAAUAUGCUGUCUAGGUUGGUCAUAACUUUCCUUCCAGGGAGUAAGCGUCUUUUAAUUUCAUGGCUGCAGUCACCAUCUGUAGUGAUUUUGGAGCCCCCAAAAAUAAAGUCAGACACUGUUUCCACUGUUUCCCCAUCUAUUUCCCUUGAAGUGAUGGGACCAGAUGCCAUGAUCUUCGUUUUCUGAAUGUUGAGCUUCAAGCCAACCUUUUCACUCUCCACUUUCACUUUCAUCAAAAGGCUUUUUAGUUCCUCUUCACUUUCUGCCAUAAGGAUGGUGUCAUCUGCAUAUCUGAGGUUAUCGAUAUUUCUCCUGGCAAUCUUGAUUCCAGCUUGUGUUUCUUCCAGUCCAGCGUUUCUCAUGAUGUACUCUGCAUAUAAGUUAAAUAAGCAGGGUGACAAUAUACAGCCUUGAUGUACUCCUUUUCCUGUUGGGAACCAGUCUAUUGUUCCAUGUCCAGUUCUAACUGUUGCUUCCUGACCUGCAUAUAGGUUUCUCAAGAGGCAGGUCAGGCGGUCUGGUAUUCCCAUCUCUUUCAGAAUUUUCCACAGUUUAUUGUGAUCCACAGAGUCAAAGGCUUUGGCAUAGUCAAUAAAGCAGAAGUAAAUGUUUUUCUGGAACUCUCUUGCUUUUAUUUCUUCACUUUCUGCCAUAAGGGUGGUGUAAUCUGCAUAUCUGAGCUGUCUCAUGCACAGAAACUGGCAAGAGAACCAGCUGCAAUAGGAACACCAAACUGGAACUGACGAAUUGCUGGAGGCUCAGUGUGGACAAUUCUGACAUUUAAAAACUCCAGGGGAACCCAGUCAUGGUGGGGGAGCUCCCACAGGUUAGUGAGUUUUACUUCCAGGAGCUCAUGCAGUUUCUCACUUUAAGUACUAGAGAAAAAUCCCCCUGUGCUUUCAGCAGCAACAGGAGAAGAGGAACCAUUUCGAAGUGCGUCAGAGCAUGCUCUUAUUCUUCUUAAUAAAGUCUGCCCACAGGAGAAAUUAGUUAACCAGAGUCUAAUUGGC
ensembl:lncRNA